UACGAAGGGGGCUAGCGUUGCUCGGAUUGACUGGGCGUAAAGGGCGCGUAGGCGGCUUGUACAGUCAGACGUGAAAUUCCUGGGCUCAACCUGGGGGCUGCGUUUGAUACGUGCGGGCUUGAGUUCGGAAGAGGGUCGUGGAAUUCCCAGUGUAGAGGUGAAAUGCGUAGAUAUCGGGAGGAACACCUGUGGCGAAAGCGGCGCACUGGACCAUAACUGACGCUGAGGCGCGAAAGCUAGGGGAGCAAACAG
rnacentral:rRNA from 1 species